rnacentral:rRNA from 1 species
UUUAUGGAGAGUUUGAUCCUGGCUCAGAGUGAACGCUGGCGGCGUGCCUAAUACAUGCAAGUCGAACGAUGAAGCAACUAGCUUGCUAGUUGUGGAUUAGUGGCGCACGGGUGAGUAAGGUAUAGUUAAUCUGCCCUACACUGGGGGACAACAUUUAGAAAUGAGUGCUAAUACCCCAUACUCCUGCUUAAUACAAGUUGAGUAGGGAAAGUUUUUCGGUGUAGGAUGAGACUA